rnacentral:misc_RNA from 1 species
GGGCCGUGGAUGGGCGGC